rnacentral:rRNA from 1 species
GACGGGGGGGGCAAGCGUUGUUCGGAAUUACUGGGCGUAAAGGGCUGGUAGGCGGCCAACUAAGUCGGAUGUGAAAUCCCCAGGCUUAACCUGGGAACUGCAUCCGAUACUGGUCGGCUUGAAUCCGGGAGAGGGAUGCAGAAUUCCAGGUGUAGCGGUGAAAUGCGUAGAUAUCUGGAGGAAUACCGAUGGCGAAGGCAGGUCUCUGGGCUGACACUGACGCUCAUGCACGAAAGCGUGGGGAGCAAACCGG